rnacentral:misc_RNA from 1 species
UUGACUUAUUUAAAAGUAACUCAGAGAUGACAUUAGAAGAGUUUUGUGCCGCAGGCAGGGCAGUUGUUACACCGCCACCAGCCUGCUGAGCAACUGGUCGUGUUCACAAUGGUUGGGGGUUUAGGCCGAAGCCACCCAGUAAUGAUCCCUCCGCUGGUUCACCAACGGAGA